AGUGAACGCUGGCGGUAGGCCUAACACAUGCAAGUCGAACGGCAGCACAGUAAUAGCUUGCUCUUACGGGUGGCGAGUGGCGGACGGGUGAGGAAUACAUCGGAAUCUACUUUUUCGUGGGGGAUAACGUAGGGAAACUUACGCUAAUACCGCAUACGACCUACGGGUGAAAGCAGGGGAUCUUCGGACCUUGCGCGAUUGAAUGAGCCGAUGUCGGAUUAGCUAGUUGGCGGGGUAAAGGCCCACCAAGGCGACGAUCCGUAGCUGGUCUGAGAGGAUGAUCUGCCACACCGGAGAUGAGAAACGGUCAAGACUCCUACGGGAGGCAGCAGUGGGGAAUAUUGGACAAUGGGCGGAAGACUGAUCCAGCAAUGCCGCGUGGGUGAAGAAGGACUUCGGGUUGUAAAGACAUUUUGUUGGGAAAGAAAAGCGGUAGCUUAAUACAACGAUGUACUGACGGUACCCAAAGAAUAAGCACCGGCUAACUUCGUG
rnacentral:rRNA from 1 species